AGUUGUAUUAAAACAUUUCCUUCCAAAGUUCAGCCCUCUUUUUAUUUUCUCUACCACGAUACUUUCACUAAAACCCAACACAGUUCUUCUUCUUCUUGCUUCAGUGCUAUGCUUUCCACCCACCAUAACACAAAUUCUAACCGUUUAAUUUCUGAUUAGGGAGCUCCUAAACGUUCUUGAGGCCGCAAUCAACAUUUCUACCGUUCGAAUUUCAAUUUCCUUCAACAGGUGAUUCUAGUGUUAUCUUCGAAUUCCAAGAGAGCGAGCUAGAAUAUAUUUAUACUGCGUUGUUGAACAGAGAGAUUGCAGAGGUUCCUUUGGAGCAAGUAUUAGAUGGAGUUGAUGCCGCUG